AUUGAACGCUGGCGGCAGGCCUAACACAUGCAAGUCGAACGAGUGGCGGACGGGUGAGUAAUGUCUGGGAAACUGCCUGAUGGCGGGGGAUAACUACUGGAAACGGUAGCUAAUACCGCAUACCAUCAGAUGUGCCCAGAUGGGAUUAGCUUGUGGGUGGGGUAACGGCUCACCUAGGCGACGAUCCCUAGCUGGUCUGAGAGGAUGACCAGCCACACUGGAACUGAGAAACGGUCCAGACUCAUACGGGAGGCAGCAGGGGGGAAUAUUGCACAAUGGGCGAAAGCCGGAUGGAGCAACGCCGCGUGUAUGAAGAAGGUCUUCGGGUGGUAAAGCACUGUCAGCGGGGAGGCGGUACCUGCUGAAGAAGCAACGGCUAACUCCGUGCCAGCAGCCGCGGUAAUAC
rnacentral:rRNA from 1 species